rnacentral:rRNA from 1 species
CGGAAGAAGGGGGCUUGCUCCCGGAUUCAGCGGCGGACGGGUGAGUAACGCGUAGGAAUCUACCUAGUAGUGGGGGAUAACGUUUCGAAAGGAACGCUAAUACCGCAUACGUUCCGAGGAAGAAAGCAGGGGAUCGCAAGACCUUGCGCUAUUAGAUGAGCCUGCGUCCGAUUAGCUAGUUGGUGAGGUAACGGCCCACCAAGGCGACGAUGGGUAGCCGGCCUGAGAGGGCGAACGGCCACACUGGGACUGAGACACGGCCCAGACUCCUACGGGAGGCAGCAGUCGGGAAUUUUGGGCAAUGGCCGCAAGGGCUGACCCAGCAACGCCGCGUGAGUGAAGAAGGCCUUCGGGUUGUAAAGCUCUGUUGCCCGUGAAGAACGGUGCGCUCAGGAAAUGGGGCGCACUUGACGGUAGCGGGAGAGGAAGCCCCGGCUAACUACGUGCCAGCAGCCGCGGUAAUACGUAGGGGGCGAGCGUUGUCCGGAUUUAUUGGGCGUAAAGGGCGUGUAGGCGGUCUGUUAAGUCAGGAGUGAAACUCCGCAGCUCAACUGCGGACCUGCUUUUGAAACUGGCGGACUUGAGUGCUCUAGAGGGCAGUGGAAUUCCCGGUGUAGCAGUGAAAUGCGUAGAGAUCGGGAGGAACACCAGUGGCGAAGGCGACUGCCUGGGGAGCAACUGACGCUGAG